UACGAAGGGGGCUAGCGUUGCUCGGAAUCACUGGGCGUAAAGCGCACGUAGGCGGAUUGUUAAGUCAGGGGUGAAAUCCUGGAGCUCAACUCCAGGAACUGCCUUUGAUACUGGAGAUCGUAGUCCGGGAGAGGUGAGUGGAACUGCGAGUGUAGAGGUGAAAUUCGUAGAUAUUCGCAAGAACACCAGUGGCGAAGGCGGCUCACUGGCCCGGUACUGACGCUGAGGUGCGAAAGCGUGGGGAGCAAACAGG
rnacentral:rRNA from 1 species